GUAAGCGUCGAGCAGGUAAGACGUGUGUGUGCCGAGAAGUGAGUCUGCCCACUGCUUUGUGACGAGUUUCAUUAACUUAAAGGUUUUGUUGGUGUGAGGUUAUUCCUCUUGUGGCGUUGUUGUUGUUGCCGGGCAGAAAGGUAUGUUAGACACCGUACAGUGGUGAUGUUGGUGUGCUCGUGUGUGUGCGUGCGUGUGUGUGUGUGUGUGUGUGUGUGUGUGCAUGCAUGUAGUGAAGGACCUUUACCUUUUCCUAAUGAACAGGAGUAUUUGAAAGUUUCCUGCUGUGUUUAGAGCAUAGGAAAUGUUGCCUGACAUUUCGUGGAAUUUUGUUUAUAGUGUAUUUUUUAACAUCAGUUUGCUACUUGAUAACGGUUAAUCCGCAAUGGAAGUUGCUAUUCCGUAAUAAAAUAAUGCGUUAGUGUUCUAUUAAUGGAAAGUGCCUCUUAAAACGUUUGUUGAGCGCAGCACAUGCUCACAAAUCCGUGGCUUGGGUGUGCAUUGAUAGCAAGGCUGCAAGUUGAUUUUAGUGACUCUUAGGUCUGUCUCCUUUAGUGUAUCUCUGCCUUAUCUCACUGAGCGCAGAUGUAGGCCAAGUUCUGUCACGAAUCUUGGUAUGAGCUACAUGUAGGGUAUUUCGUGGGUUUGUUUUCCUCUUGGUGUCUUGUGUUCAGAUUUAGCUUGUAUAUUAAAUUUCGGAGUUUGUUGCUACUAUAUAGAGUACUGUGGGUAGAUAACGAUACCUGAAGCGAGUUCAACCCCCUUUGGAUUCAAUAUCUAUGCUUUAGUGUAUCGCCGGUACGUGGCAGCUUCGUUCCUACUCGAGAUGGAGGGAGCCUGAACAUCGGACUGCGAUUACCCAGCUGCCUGCCAUACCAGCCACAUCUACGUUCCAGUCUUACCCGGGCUGGGAUCCGUCCUCCCAUCAGCAAUGUAUAGAACCAGGGAGAAGGUCGCCAGUUUCGGGCGUCAGUCAGGAGAUGGAGCACGUCCCGCCAUGACACCGGCGUCCCUACAUCUGCGCGCUAUGAACUUGGUAGAGCAUCUGUUUCACCCGAGCGAACUCGUCAGCCAUAGCGGCGCUCGAGUUUGACUUGUACCCGACCUAGAGUCUGCGAAGCCCUAGCAUCCAUCCUCCUUCUCGUGUGUCAUGUAAUAGCAGUCCAUCUCCAUGUCUCUCUCUUCAGAUGAAGACGCAGACGGCGGAGGCAUGCGGUCCAGACACAGGUCCAGCCACUACUGAAGGGAAAACCAAACCGUGUCCUAACAACCGGUCCUGCCACUACUGAAAGGAAAACCAAACCAACGUGUCCUAACAACCCCGACCCUGCAGCAGGAAACUAGCUCUUCUUGCACUGGAAGACGCGAGCUGUCUCUGUACCUUCCACGGAGGAAAUGGACCCUGCCAUGACAACAGCGGCGUCAUCCAGGGAGGGAGGACAAGACUACCUUGCUUCAUCUAACCUAACCAAUAAAUGUUGCCAA